UACAGAGGGUGCAAGCGUUGUUCGGAAUUAUUGGGCGUAAAGCGCGUGUAGGCGGCGUGACAAGUCGGGUGUGAAAGCCCUCAGCUCAACUGAGGAAGUGCGCCCGAAACUGUCGUGCUUGAGUGCCGGAGAGGGUGGCGGAAUUCCCCAAGUAGAGGUGAAAUUCGUAGAUAUGGGGAGGAACACCGGUGGCGAAGGCGGCCACCUGGACGGUGACUGACGCUGAGAUGCGAAAGCGUGGGGAGCAAACAGG
rnacentral:rRNA from 1 species